rnacentral:lncRNA from 1 species
UUUUUUUGUUUUUUGUUUUUUUCCAAUAUCUUGCUAUCUCAUUCUGGUCUCUUACUUGCAUUUAUUUGCUCUCUGCAGGAUCAAAAUGCCGGAAACCUUUGUUGUUCACCUCGGAAACAGCAAAGAGCUCAUGGAAGUUGCUGAAGACACUGUAGCAAAAAGGGUUUUGCGUGAGCAUGUUCGGGAGUCUCUUGGAGUACGAAGUGAAGACUUACUAUUUGCCAUCAUAAACAGUAUGUGUUCGGAGCUGAUUUGGUCAUGUCUCUGAUUUAAAUUGUUGAGUCUUGUCCAGUGACCAGUUAUAAUUGGCCAGUGCAGUGACUUCACUAUUGCUUAUUUGUCUAUUCUGCACACUGAAUUAACCUGUUCUACUAUUUUUUUGUCUUUAUUCUGUCAUUUGUAGUAUGCAUCUAAAACUUGUGGUUAUAUCCAUGAGGAAAAGAAAAGAGUCUCUAAUUAAUUUAUCCAUAUCCCUUUUGAGUUGAUUACAAUUGAUGAUUACAGGUGUUUCGCGUGGAAAAGGCCAGGAUCUAUUUCUGCGUUCAUUCUAUGAAAGCGUGAAAUUGGUCCAAGAGAAGAAGCUGCAACUGCCAAAAAUGCAUGCAGUUGUUGUGGGUAGUGACAUGACUGCUCACACCAAGUUUGAGUCUGAGUUGCGUAACUUCGUAAAGAUGAAGAAAAUUGAAGAUCGUGUUCAUUUUGUAAACAAAACACUGACUGUAGCUCCAUAUCUAGCUGCCAUUGAUGUCCUUGUGCAAAAUUCUCAGGUAUGGAAUAUUAUUCAUUUAUUAAUGAAUUAAUUUAUUGGUUUCAAGAACUACAUGUACAAGAAGCACAAAAUGCAUAAAAGGCAUUGAAAUGAUUGUUGUUGGAAUUACAUAGAUCUCAAUUAUAUCAUCCUUCUUCAACUUAUAAUCCGUUUUGUGGCCCUUCCAUAUAGGCACGGGGAGAAUGCUUUGGUAGGAUAACUAUUGAAGCCAUGGCAUUUCAGCUGCCUGUACUGGUAAUGAAUCUACAAGAUUCCUCUUGAUAUGCCUAAUUAUCUUGUAAGUUCUCUUUUGUAUUGUAGCUGCUAAUCUUGUUUUCAAAUGGAAAAAUUUGCCAGGGAACAGCAGCAGGUGGAACCACAGAGAUUGUAGUGAAUGGAACAACAGGUCUCUUGCAUCCUGUCGGGAAAGAAGGGGUUACACCUCUUGCAAAAAACAUUGUUAAACUUGCCACUCAUGUUGAGAGGAGGCUUACAAUGGGGAAGAGAGGCUAUGAAAGGGUCAAAGAAAGGUUUUUAGAACAUCACAUGGCAAAUAGAGUUUCUGGGGUUCUGAAGGCAGUGUUACAGAAGUCAAAGAGCCACUCAGAUGCCUGAUAGUUAGAGGGUCUUUUUUUUUUUUUUUUUUCUUUUUUUUGAAAAAAGGUUUGGAACCCAACCUUGCUGGGAGGCUCAGCCCCACGCCCGGAAUGUUACUGUCAAGUAGAAUGCCGAAUGAUUCAUUCUAUUGGGGUGAAAUAUACAUGUGUACUUCUCUAGGGAUUUCAGUGCUUAUCAGAAAGAAGAUGAAAUACACUAGAUUAUUAGGACAGUUUCAAUUUGCGAUCAAUUUUUAUGUACAUAUAACACAUCGCUGUUAGCUUUUAUUAUGAAGGUCUAUCUAGGCAGACAUCUUAUUGAAAUGUUUGGCUCCCAUUUUGUUGUUGAUUUUUGUAUCGUGAACAAGUUCAACUUAGGCACAGAACACCACCAUAGCAAUCAAUAUAACAUUAAGUAGAAUCACGACAUUUUGGUAAGAGAAAGAUAACAGACAGUAACCGCUAACAUUUAGAGUUUGAUUACGCAGACUGCAGAGCAAGCAUUUCAGCUAGUAAACCAUGGAUUUCAAGAGGACUUGGGGUGUGAAAAACCAUUUACUGGUUUUGGCUGCUGCUUGAUGUUGGGUUUUGUAAACCAAGUUGUAUACAGAAACUGCUUAUUAGGUCCUACAUGGUUGCAUAUUUGUCUGAGCUUCUGCCUCUCCUUCAUCCACCUCAACACUAUCUUCAUGUGCCUCUUGCUCGUCAGUCCUCUUAAACCAACUUCCUAGUAGAAUUUCGAUCAGACUUUUAGUCAAACAGUUCAUAAGCAUUACCCACAUCAGAGAUAAGUAUAGAGAAAGCUCCGGAUAUAAAAAACUAAUAGAGCUCAAAACAGUAACAAGACUUCCAAAGGGGAGUCGAAUUACCUGAACGUGAUCCCAUGUUUCAGAAAUGGUGAGAGGACCGUGCUCCUUCACGAUAUCAAAGAUGGCCCUAGUGAUGGUCUGUGUCUGCUCAGGUGGAGUUUUGAGCUCUAUCGGUUUCAUCUUCGGUUUCGGUUUUCUCCCAAUGAGCCUUAUUGCUGUUCCAAACAUGUUGACGAAGCCUUUUCUUUUCCUGAACUAUUCUCAGUUUGCUGCAAGAGGUGCUCACCACCUGAAGAGGGAACUGAGAAACAAUGAAAUUAUAUGCAAGUAUUGUCAAGGGCCAGACCAGAGUUUUAUUUUCUAGUAGACAAUUUCAACCCAUAUCCAUUAAUUGUAGUAUUGUACCAAGUAAAAGUAUAGGAAUUCACUUUAAUACCAAGCACAUAGCGAUGCCCAACCCACAAAAUUCUCAUACUCCAAUGUUUACACUUUACAAGAAGCAUAAUAACCAGAUAUGAAAAGAAUGUAUACUAAUAGCUUCUACCAAAGAAACAAAUAACACACAUCCUACACAGUACAACUCAAAGCCUUGAACACAUGUUCUUUCCAUUUCUUCUUUCCCCAAAUUACUACCUCUCAACCUAGAGUAUGUCAUAUCUUCAGCUGUCAGAAUUAGGGGAUUUAACACCUUCAAUUAUCAAGAGGCACAUUCUGAACAUAUUGUUCAUCUACUUGUUCGAAGUUCCUAGCAUGGAUGUAGUUUCCUUAUCAGUUUCAAGUAACUUUAUGGCCUCCACCAACUUUUGCUUGACAAUUCUUGUUCCAGAAUCACACAAUGAGCCUAUACUGAAAACAUUGUUCCCUUCUUGCAUCAGCUCACUCAGGCGCAGAGACUGGGCAGAGUUUGCCCUUUCACACGAAGGCUCACAUAAACCACUACUCAUCACAUUCUGAUUUUUCGCCCCUCGAGUCCAUCUCUUCACUAUGUAUUGGGCUGGUAUGCUCGUGAUGUUCUUAAGAUCCAAUACUUUCAGGGCAUGACGACAAAGCACUCCCAUGGAUUCAAACAACUUACAAGAACAACAAAUCGUCGAAGUAGUGGAGUUGUAUUGAAUUAUGUAGACUCUUUGAUGACCUUCUUCAACUGCUUCAUAUACAUAUUGGUAGCCAUCAUUACCAACUUCCAUCAUCCUCACCCCAAAGGUACUUAAAAUCUCAUUUUCAAAGAAUGAAUACAGUUUAAUAGUAUACUCUGCAGCUGCAUGCUUAAAGAUACCCGUGUUCACUCUAAGACGAGGCAUACCAUUUUUACAACGAAAAUCCUCUUCCGCCUGCGCUAAUCUUAAAACUUUUGUUUUUUUCUCAUAAUGCUGUGCCAACCCAAUGAGAUCCAUUGUUGUUGUAGAAAUUUGAUGGAAAGUAGUAUCAAUGUUCUCACCCCUCUGGUCACAUCCGAUAUUGGCUGUGAAAGUGUCUGGGCUAAAAGCUGGAGACCAUUUCUGUCUAAGUAAAUAUAACUUUUUCAGCCACAAAUCAUUCUCAAGGUUGAACUUUUUAACCAUAUCAUCCCACGUAGCUUCAAAUUCUGCUUCGGCGACACACUCAUGAAAACAUUUGUUGAAGCACUCCUUGAACUCAGGAUUAGCAAGGUGACUAGCAAGAUAUUGUGAAGCAUUCUUAGAGAUGUUCCAUGUGCAUAGUCGAUGAUGUGUCCCUGGAAGUAUAACCUCAAUCGCUUUUGCCAUGGCAUUAUCCUCAUCUGUAAAAAUGGUUUUUGGUCGUUUAUCUCCCAUAGAUUCCAGAAAAUUUUCAAACAACCAAGUGAAUGAAUCAGUGCUCUCAUCCAAUAGAAAAGCACAACCAAAUAGGACAUUCUUCCAGUGAUGAUCAACCCCCACGAAUGGAGCACAAACUAGAUUGUAUUUCUUAGUUCGGAAUGUGGUGUCAAAGAGUACAACAUCUCCAAAGCAAUCAUAGUCAAGCCUUGAUCUACUGUCUCUCCAGAAAAAAUUAGUGACACGGUUAUAUUGAUCCACUUUCACACUGUAAAAGAAACUCGAAUCCUCCAGUUGCUGAUGCUUCAAAUAAUCAAGUAAACUUUGUCCAUCCGCUCCUCCGAUCAUGUUUUCCUUCAACCUGUGCAAACAAUCAUGGACACCUUUUUCAGUGAACCCAAACCCUGCAUUAUCAGUACUGCUCAUUUCUUUCUCCAAGUACGAGAGUGUUUUGGUUGGUCUUACACUCGCAUCAACCUUAGAAGAGUUAUAACCAAUGAUAGCUGCACGAACAGUUGAUAUAUGCCGACUUGAUCUUAGAAACUGCCUCUCUUCUGGCUUAGCAAACUCGUGGUUAUGAACCGGAUUGAACUGCACAAUCCUCCAUUUCCCAUCUUCAACAUUGAACCGAACCAUCGCCUUACAACCGGUUCUCGUGUCCAAUCUCCUCACUUUUUUCGCUUCCCCCACCUCCUCAUCUAAUGGAAACCCUUCUUUUGAACAAAAGUAGUCCCGCUGGCGUAGCUUAUUCUGUGCAUCCCUUCUGACCUUCCCUUUCCGGAUACUAAACCCUUUCUUGAAAGCAUAUGUGUUGUAUAACUCGUAAGCUUCAUUUUCAUUCUCUACCACCGUCCCCACUCUUAGCUCAUCACCAUCUCCAAAUGUAUCCUCCUUGUCACCAUUUUCUAACACAUUCCUUUGCCACCCACUAUCCAUUAUCUAAUCAAAGAAGCCUAAUCAUAAACAACAGAUUUUCUAUUACUGUUUUGACAAAACAGGGCAAGCAAAGUUCACAAAUUCAAGUCAAAAAUCACAACUCCAAUACAACAUUCAGAAAAUGAAUUAUUCAUGAAAUUAUCACCAGAAUUGCAUAAAGAACAUAACACCCAGUUUCAUAAAUGACACACCCAUCAAUCCAAAACCCACUCUCAAGCCUAAAAACCCAUGAACCCCAAAACUCAAAUUACAAAAAGCGAGGCAGAAGAGGUACCUGUUCUGCUGACGUCACAAUCGCCGUUCAGAGUUGAGUUAUUUCUGCAAAUUGGGUUAUGGAUUUUGCGGCAGUUUUGUACUAUUUAAUAGACGACCUAAACGCACCGUUUCGUGUUAUGUUCAAAACGCACCGUUUCUUCUCUCUCUUUUGUAAAAUACACACUCAAAAACCUUCCAUAAAGUUUGAACUUUCCAAAUGCAAAACCUCUCCCGCAGAUUCUCAACUCUCCAAGUUCCCAAGCUUUCAACCCCACCGCCGCAACCCAUCAGACCUUUGUUUCAAUACUCGAAGAUUCAGCAUUGCCGGAAAAUCCUUGAGCACAGAAUCAUCACCGUUCUGGAUGUAUGCACCACCCUCACCCAAGCCCAGCAGGUCCACGCUCACGUCAUCGCCAAUGGGCUCAGCCAGUACAGCUACGUCAUCACCAAGCUCAUCCGCACGCUCACCAAGCUCGGCGUCCCAAUGGGGACCUACCCGGAGCUCGUUUUCCGCCGCGUGACGCGCCCCAACCCGUUUCUGUGGGCGGCUAUGAUCAGAGGAUGUGUGAUUGAAGGACAGGUUUCGGAAGCAGUGAGGUUUUAUGGUUUGAUGAGGAGGGAGGGCACGGGUCCGGUUUCGUUCACCUUCUCGUCGUUGUUUAAAGGCUGCGGGAGCGUUGGGGAUGUGAGUUUGGGGCGGCAGGUGCAUGCGCAGACGGUUGUGAUCGGUGGGUUUGCGGCGGAUUUGUACGUGGGGAACACUAUGAUUGAUAUGUACUUGAAAUGUGGGGAGUUGGGUUGUGGGCGGAAGGUGUUUGAUGAAAUGCCUGAGAGAGAUGUGGUGUCGUGGACCGAGCUGAUUGCGGUGUAUGCCAAGAGUGGGGAUAUGGGGUCGGCCAGGGAGUUGUUUGAGGAGUUGAGUUUGAAAGAUAUGGUGGCGUGGACGGCCAUGGUUACGGGGUAUGCGCAGAAUUUGAUGCCGAGAGAGGCGUUGGAUUGCUUUGAGAGAAUGCGGGGCGCUGGUGUGGGGAUUGAUGAGGUUACUUUGCUCGGGGUUGUUUCGGCUUGUGCGCAGUUGGGUGCGUGUAGGUAUGCAAAUUGGGUGAGAGGCAUUGCUGGGGAAUCUGGUUUCGGCCCUGCUGAGAAUGUGCUUGUGGGAUCUGCGUUGAUAGAUAUGUACGCAAAGUGUGGGAGCUUGGAUGAUGCGUACGAUAUUUUCCGAGGAAUGAAGCAGAGGAAUGUGUUUUCGUAUAGCUCAAUGAUUUGGGGAUUUGCAGUGCAUGGAAAUGCCAAUGCGGCAAUCGAGUUGUUUCAUGAGAUGCUGACAACUGAUGUUAUAAGGCCGAACCGUGUUACUUUUAUAGGGGUGCUAACUGCCUGCAGCCAUGCGGGGAUGGUUGAUCAAGGUCGGCAGUUGUUUGCAACCAUGGAGAAGUAUUACAAUGUCACUCCAUCAGCUGAACAUUACACUUGUAUGGUAGACUUGCUUGGUCGAGCUGGUCGCUUGGAAGAAGCUCUCGAGCUAGCUGAGACGAUGCCAAUAGUCGCGCAUGGAGGUGUGUGGGGAGCGCUACUUGGUGCGUGUCGUAUCCAUAAAAACCCCGGCAUUGCUCAAAUUGCUGCAAGUCAUCUAUUUGAGCUUGAACCUAAAAAUAUCGGAAACUACGUGAUGCUCUCCAACAUAUAUGCAUCAGCAGGAAGGUGGGGUGAUGUUUCAAGUGUUAGGAAGCUGAUGAGAGAGAAGGGUCUGAAAAAGAACCCUGCAUAUAGCUGGGUUGAAACAAAGAAUGGAGGUGUCGAAAAGUUUAGUGCAGGUGAUACACGUCACCCCGAUUACGAAGAUAUCAAAAAGGCAUUGGAGGAUCUUCUAAACAGAUUACAGGAUCAUGGUUAUAGGCCAAACCUGAAUUCGGUGGAUUAUGAUGUGGGGGAUGAAGAAAAGAUGCGUAUAUUGAUGGCUCAUAGCGAGAAACUGGCGUUGGCAUACGCAUUGCUCAAUGCAGACACUGGUCCCACCAUUAAGAUCAUCAAGAACAUAAGAAUUUGUGAAGAUUGUCAUGGCUUCAUGUGUGGCGCAUCACAGGUUACAGGAAGGCAUAUUAUUGUGAGAGAUAACAUGAGAUUCCACCACUUCGAAAAUGGGAAAUGUAAUUGCGGCAAUUUUUGGUGAUUGAAGUAUUGUUCAGUCUACUUGACCAAGAUUAUGGUGCAAGAUUUCAUAAGUGGAAAGCUCAUGCAUUUUAGCUGAACUGUGGUUAUGUCUCUCAAAAAUCGUAAAUAUAUAGCUGCCUCAACAUAUCUCAUAUUCCUAACGUGGGACUCAUAUUCCUGAUGUGGGAUUGAUAUCUCAACACGCCCACAUCGGGAAUAUCAUAUCAAAGGUCUCAUAUUCUCGAUGUGAUAUUCCCGAUGUGAAAUUGAUAUCUCAACACGCCCCCGCACGUGUGGUGAAUUUUCAAGCCUAACACGUAGACAACAUUUAGGUGGCGUGGAGUACGUGUGGCCAUUGGGUAACCCUCUCUGAUACCAUGAUAAACCAUGAUAAAGUAGUAUGAGGUUCACAUCUAAAACCAAUUGGCAAUAGAUGGAGAGGCCUAAACCCUUAUAAACCCACAGACAAAGUCUUAUAUUCUCGAUAUGGGAUUGAUAUCUCAACAUCUCAUAGCUAAGGCUGGGAACCAUAUAAUUUUCAAGGCGCCUAGAGCCUUUGAUUGAAGCCUCGAGCAGUUACAUCUCGGUUCGGCACACUUCCCUUUUCUAUGAGGUGAAUAAUUAUGCCAUUAACUGGGUGAAACAAACUUCCCUUUUCUAUGAGGUGAAUAAUUAUGCCAUUAACUGGGUGAAACAAGAUCAGUAGACGGCAGAGUACAAACUCAAAAGGCACAUAUCAACAUAAACAUUCCAAAUCCUUCCCUUACAACCUCGUGGACCUUAUUCACAGCACUGCUGAUUAUACCUAUUAGAAGUACUAUAGGUGCUUUAUCAGCUUAUUCAAAGAGCUAAUCAACAAGCAUCUACAUACGCAUAUAUAACUAUAAGAUAGUUUUUGAUCAUGAUUGAUCGAUUUAGUGGUGGCCGGGAAGCUUCUCUUUGAUCUUGUCCAUCAUUCCCUUCUCCUGGUGUUGGCCACCACCGUAAGGUGUAGUAGUCGCACCGUAGGGAUCGUCGGACCUGUGCUUUCCACCUGGUAGCUUCUCCUUUAUCUUCUCCUUCAAACCCUUCUUCUUCCUCCUUCCGCCAUAUCCAUCAUCUUCAGACUAUUCAUACACACAUCAUAAUCAAAUAAACAUUCAUUUACUUACAAAAUAAAUAAACAUUCAUUUAUAUAUCAAUCAUGUUAUCAUGAACACAAAAAAUGAGCUGAUAAAGCAUCCAAUGGAGUGAAACUCACAGAGCUUGAGCUGUCAGAGCGGUGAAGUGGGACGGAGGUCACGCCGCCGGCCGUUGUUGCAGCGAAGCCAGUCGGCCCAGUGCCAUGAGUUCCGAAGCCAGUACCAGUUGUACCAUGGGUUCCGUAGUCUGUACCAGUUGUACCAUGAGUUCCAUAGCCUGUUCCGGUCGUGUCAUGACUGCCGUACCCGGCGGUUGCUCCAGUUACACCGUGGUGAACCGGGUCCUCAGUCCGGCGGAUAGGGUUUCCGAACUCGUCGGUGGUCUUGUCUCUAUCGUACUCGCUCUGGAAAUGCGCCAUAUUGAUCAGCUUCCCAAAAACGCAAACAGUUGGUGUGCAAAUGAUCGAAAUUGUAUAUGAUGAUGUGUAUAAACAGCUUCUGUUUUUGG